rnacentral:rRNA from 1 species
AGUGAACGCUGGCGGUAGGCCUAACACAUGCAAGUCGAACGGCAGCACAGUAAGAGCUUGCUCUUACGGGUGGCGAGUGGCGGACGGGUGAGGAAUACAUCGGAAUCUACUUUUUCGUGGGGGAUAACGUAGGGAAACUUACGCUAAUACCGCAUACGACCUACGGGUGAAAGCAGGGGAUCUUCGGACCUUGCGCGAUUGAAUGAGCCGAUGUGGGAUUAGCUGGUUGGCGGGUAAAGGCCCACCAAGGCGACGAUCCGUAGCUGGUCUGAGAGGAUGAUCAGCCACACUGGAACUGAGACACGGUCCAGACUCCUACGGGAGGCAGCAGUGGGGAAUAUUGGACAAUGGGCGCAAGCCUGAUCCAGCCAUACCGCGUGGGUGAAGAAGGCCUUCGGGUUGUAAAGCCCUUUUGUUGGGAAAGAAAAGCAGCAGGUUAAUACCCCGCUGUUCUGACGGUACCCAAAGAAUAAGCACCGGCUAACUUCGUG